AGCAGCCGCGGUAAUUCCAGCUCCAAUAGCGUGUAUUAAAGUUGUUGCAGUUAAAAAGCUCGUAGUUGAAUUUCGGGAUCAGUACGCCGGUCGUGCCUUCGGUAUGCACUGGUGUCACUGAUUCCUCCCUUCUGAAGAACCGUUAUGCCAUUUAUUUGGUGUGGCGGGGAAUCAGGACUGUUACUUUGAAAAAAUUAGAGUGUUUAAAGCAGGCUCGCGCUUGAAUACAUUAGCAUGGAAUAAUGAAAUAGGACGUUUGAUCUUAUUUUGUUGGUUUCUAGGAUCGACGUAAUGAUUAAUAGGGAUAGUUGGGGGCAUUAGUAUUCAAUUGUCAGAGGUGAAAUUCUUGGAUUUAUUGAAGACUAACUACUGCGAAAGCAUUUGCCAAGGAUGUUUUCAUUAAUCAAGAACGAAAGUUAGGGGAUCGAAGACGAUCAGAUACCGUCGUAG
rnacentral:rRNA from 1 species